CACACACACACACGCGCGCACACACGCUUUUUCUUCCUCCUCAAAUAGAUAACCCCUAUGGCGCGUCCCUGGUACCUUUUGAAUAGCACUGGAGUUUAGAGAAUAAAAAUCCUUAUAAUGUAUGGCUUGUCUUUAGCCAAACAUUUAAGCACAUAAAGGGGUGGGUGAGAGGAAGGGGGACUUGAACUAAGAGACCUUUCUUUAAAAAAAAAGAAAGUCUGCAAGUCGAAAGGUCAUUCUGUAAGUUUGUAAAUACAAUUGCAAAGGGAGUCCUUAAAAAAGAAAGAAGUGCCAAGAAGGAAGAGAAGGUAGAAAGGCCCACAAGUUCCAUAAAAUAAUGCAUUGGCAAGGCAAGGCAGGCUGAUUCUUUUAAUCGUGUGUCUUGAGAAGCCAAGUUAUUGGCGGGGGGGGCGGCUGGAGAGGAGAAAAAAAGAGAAAAAGAAAAGGGGAGAGGAAAAUAAAAGGUAGAGAAGGCAAAAGAAGUUUGCAAAGAAAUGUGUGCUUUGCGUCCUACAAUAGGAAAAUGUAGCCAUUGCCCUGCUCCAGACGAGACAUUUCUAAUUUGUUCCGUCUGUCAGGAGGGGACUAAGAGGUUUGGCUGUAAAUUCAUUAUCUCUGGCAACGCAGAACGUAGUGUGGGGACUGAAAAAGACCGUGGCAAUGGAUGAACAAUAGGGCUUCAGUUCAUCAGUAACAAAAGCAGUGGGGAAAUUGGUUGAGUUUCAGAGCACGUCCUCCUCGGCAGAGGGGGCUGGACUAGACCUUGGACAGCCCCCCCAAAAACUUGCUGAGCCUUGCACAGAGCGCUUCACUCUCCACUGCGAGCCUUAGGGAGCAAGUGCCCGCGUGGGGGGGGAAAGUUGGCUUUUUUUCCUCCUCGGUCUUUUGCGCCCUGCUCUCUCUCUUCCCACAGGGGAAGACCCGUUUAAACUAUUUUAGACGCAAUCAAGCAAGAAUCACCAUGUGGAAUUGAGCGGCAGUUUUAAAUGUGCGAAGGAGAGGAAUGAUCAGAAAAAAUUUUUUGUUUUUUUUGUUUUGUUUUUUUUUGUUUUUGUUUUUGUUUUUGGAGACGCCUAAAGGAUCCUGUGUGUGCUGCCGCCGCUCUGGGACUGGAUCUUGUCUCUUCUGGUUGGAGCGCCUCGAUUCCUGGCCUGCUGGAUUUGGGGGGCUGCACUGCCUGGCGCUGGGAGAUCAAAUGAGACUGCACAGAAGCAUAAAAUGAAUAGACUGUCCAUCCAACCAAAGACCGGGGGCAGCAGCACACCAGCAAGACGGCAUCUGUCUUCCCCAGCCUAGAAGCCCUGUGAAAUCGAGGAUCUUCCCCCUAAAACACUCACAUACAAGAUAUGUGCAAUCAAGCUGCCACCGCUUGGUAAAAAAGCUCGUGCUGCCUAACCCAAAAGGAUCAGGAGCCGAUCCUUGAAUCCGCGGUCACUUCUAUAGAACGGGAUUUCCCCCCCCCCCUUCCUCCUUAACCUGCGCUGGAAAUUGCCGUUGGCUUUUUACAUCUCUAUAGAGGAAGGCUAAAGAGUCGUGCGUGAGAACGAAGCAAUUUACAAUGCAAAUAGAGGCCUCAGAAGGGAUGGCUGCUGCUGCUCACUCCUAACAGCUUGCUGCACCUUAAUAGCUGGUUUUAUUUUCUGAUAUUAAUAGAUGAAUUGUUGGCUAACACUGCCGGAGAUUACUUGCUGAAAGGGGGAAAAAGUUCGGAAUAAACUCUGAAGGCCACAGAUCUCAUUUGGAUGUUUUAGCCCCACAUAUACAAACAGAAACCAGGUCAUAUUUACAUAAAAGGAGGAAUCUGAAGAAGGGCAAGUGUCCUGGAUAACUGACUACUCACGGUGGCAGCUCCGGAGUCUGGUAGGAGGAAGACAGAGGUGCAUGAGGGAAGCGAGUUGUUAUCUUUGGUUAUCUAGCUGUAUGAGUGUAUUGGUCUUCAUAAAGCUAGAUAACCGAAAGUAAAAACUCCUUCAAGGUCGCCGGGCAGCGUGAGAAUGAAAGACUACAACCAAGAGACAGUAAAAACCGGAAAGGUCAGGAAUACUUAUUGAAUCUAACUUUGUUUUUGUUUUUUGUUUUGUUUUUUGCUUUUUCCUUAUAAGAGUAAAGGUGGGAUACAAGGAAAUUAAGCGACACAAGAUGCUGAAAUUGAAAAGUGCCAGGGUUUGGGGGAGGGUUGUUAGGGCUGUAAAGAAUUGUAUAGUGCUCAGGGUAAAGAUGCAUGUACAAUGUGUUCUGUUUUAAGGCCAAAGUUUAUAUACGAGGGAUUUUUUUCUUCUUCUUAGCUGUUGUAGAGAUUUCUGACAACUGGUUUAAAAAUGAUUCCAUGAUUAUGUAGGCUUGGGCAGUUCCCCUCCGAGGCCCCUCCCCCCCAAUUUGAAGAUUGUGCUUGGAAACUACUUUAAAUGUAUUUGGGCUAAAUGUCAAAUGCUAUGAAAUUAGACUUUCAGAAAAGUUUAUCCUGGAAAGUUAAUAAUUUAUAACUAUUGAGGACUCAGCAGUAGCAGGGAAAAUGAAAAAAAAAAAAAAAAAGCAAAGGCUGAUUUUGAUUCUUCUAUUCAAAAUACAAGGACAGAUGCUUCUCUGUUCCAAGAGGGUUUCCUUGAGGAAGCUACUGAAGCAGAAAGACAUGAUGGAGACGAGAUCGCCUCCUCUCUUGUCAAAGUGUUAAAAAAAUGUUCUGUCUUACUCUGCGCCUAGCAUUGGAAAUGAAAGUGACAUUUACGCCAGAACCCACGUGGGCGCCUCCUCUCUUUUUGUUUAAGGAUGAUCAGGUCUAUCCAGGAAACAGCUCUGGCAUCCCAAACUGAAAUAAUUAGGACGUAUAUAGACCUGACAAAAAUGGAAAGGGGGUGGGGAAUCGCAGGGUCUGUCUUGCCUAAUUGAUUCCGCUAAACGGAACGAGGAGAUGUGAACGGCGGGACGCUCCGAUUCCCACGCUCGGGGGCAGGGGGUAAGGCGGCCGGCAGCCUAUGACAGACAGCCCUGUUGGAGGGUAGGGUAUGAAAAAAACAUCCAGUGCACACACCAUACUCAACUCCACCGCUUAAGAAGGUAAAGGCAUUUCCCACCCACAGACAUCUGCAGGCUCCCAAAUGGCAGCGCCAACUGGUCUGCUUGCUGCUCGCUGGUUUUUUUGUUUUUUUGUGUUUUUUUUGAACCGCUGUUUAAUCUGCUGGCCAGGAUAAAGUUUGGCUUCUGAAGUUUGGUUGAGAUUUUUCAAUAUGUAAGGAGACCUGGUAGAAAAUGAUUCCAAGAAAGUCCCAUCAUGCCCGCCCUGGGAGACAUCCUUGGUCUGGCCGGGGGCCUGGUGAACACCCUUUCUUUCGAGUUUUUGUUUUGGCUGGGGUAUACUUUCCAGUACACAGCUCGGUGCCACAGUCUCAGUUAUGACUUCAUCAGCUUGUUUACCUCUUAAUGUGACACGCAGAGGAGCGAGGCGCCCGGAAGCUAAUUGAUGCCUACUAGAAGUGAAACUGUAAAGUCAUCAGCCCAGAGAGAGUGGAUUACAGUAGCAGGGUGAGAAAAGCUCGUUUUGGAGUAGUCCCAGCUGGAUGCACUCUAAACGGCCAUUUUUGUUUAAUUUGAAAAUAACUACGCCUGGCAUACACUUUGGGGUUAUGAAGGUCCGCACUGCAACCCCUGAAAGUCUUUACAUUGGGCCACAUCACCAAGCCAACAUUUGUAUGGGCAUUGACACAUAAAUACAACCACUGCGAUGAGAAAAUGACUGGAACAGCCUACGACCAUCCACAGGGCCUAGAUUACUGACACUCCCAACUAGCCCACCACUCUUCAAAGGCAGUCCAUUUCCCUUUGUAGCUUCUACUCCUGGUAAGACUUCAGACUGGAAAAGCCAGUAAAACCACUGUUAAUUUCACUUAGAAGCUCAGAGAGACUUUAAUAAGGUAAAUUCUCUGUUUGGCUGCUGAACACGCGCCAAAGUUUUACUACCCUGGUGACCAUUGUGAAGACCCUUGUUUAUUUACAUUUGAAGCACUGUUUGUGCAAACAACCUUUCCUUGUUAAGUGCCUGUAUUUCUUUCAUUUACUUCGUGUCCAGGGGUGCUAUUUACCUAGAAGCAUUGUCUACUACAAUUACAUUUACAUUACAAAGUGUGUGGUUUUUCUUUCUCAAGGAGGUUCAAUUAAGGCAAUAAGAUGUUUGCUGGGGAAACCUAUUGUUUACUGAAAGCACUCAAUGGAGUCAAAUUACUGAAGCUUUUUGCCUACAUCUUGGUCUUUUCUGUAAAUAUGUGAAAUAUAACAUCUAAGGAAAAUAAACAAUAUUAUAAUUACGUGUU